AAACUUUCAACAACGGAUCUCUUGGUUAGGCCAUCGAUGAAGAACGCAGCGAAAUGCGAUAAGUAAUGUGAAUUGCAGAAUUCAGUGAAUCAUCGAAUCUUUGAACGCACAUUGCGCCCCCUGGUAUUCCGGGGGGCAUGCCUGUUCGAGCGUCAUUACAACCCUCAAG
rnacentral:rRNA from 1 species